rnacentral:rRNA from 1 species
AUAAAAAACCAAUGCCCUUCGGGGCUCCUUGGUGAUUCAUAAUAACUUAACGAAUCGCAUGGCCUUGCGCCGGCGAUGGUCCAUUCAAAUUUCUGCCCUAUCAACUUUGGAUGGUAGGAUAGAGGCCUACCAUGGUGGCAACGGGUAACGGGGAAUUAGGGUUCGAUUCCGGAGAGGGAGCCUGAGAAACGGCUACCACAUCCAAGGAAGGCAGCAGGCGCGCAAAUUACCCAAUCCCGACACGGGGAGGUAGUGACAAUAAAUACUGAUACGGGGCUCUUUCGGGUCUCGUAAUUGGAAUGAGUACAAUCUAAAUCCCUUAACGAGGAACAAUUGGAGGGCAAGUCUGGUGCCAGCAGCCGCGGUAAUUCCAGCUCCAAUAGCGUAUAUUAAAGUUGUUGCAGUUAAAAAGCUCGUAGUUAAACCUUGGGUCUGGCUGGCCGGUCCGCCUCUCCGCGAGUACUGGUCCGGCUGGCCUUGCCUUCUGGGGAAUCCCAUGGCCUUCACUGGCUGUGG